AUUGAACGCUAGCGGGAUGCCUUACACAUGCAAGUCGAACGGAGUGGCGAACGGGUGAGUAAUGUAUCGGAACGUGCCCAGUCGCGGGGGAUAACUACGCGAAAGCGUAGCUAAUACCGCAUCCUCUUGGAUCGGCCGAUAUCGGAUGAGCUAGUUGGUGGGGUAACGGCGCACCAAGGCGACGACCCGUAGCUGGUUUGAGAGGACGAGCAGCCACACUGGGACUGAGACACGGCCCAGACUCCUACGUGAGGCAGCAGUGGGGAAUUUUGGACAAUGGGGGAAACCCUGAUGCAGCCAUCCCGCGUGUGCGAAGAAGGCCUUCGGGUUGUAAAGCACUUUUGGCAGGAAAGCGGUACCUGCAGAAUAAGCACCGGCUAACUACGUGCCAGCAGCCGCGGUAAUUC
rnacentral:rRNA from 1 species